rnacentral:lncRNA from 1 species
AAGAUUCCUUCCGACUCUUCCUCAAGAGGCGUGUGCUUCUCUCAUGCCUACCUGGGCCCCCCGUACACGAAACAGUACCCUCUCCCUUCUUUCCUCCUCCUAUCUAUAAAAUACAUGAUCAUGCAAAGCUUUGGAGAUAUAGCAAUCCAUUGCAGGCUAUAACAACUUAAGAAACUCAAAAAACCUUCAGCUCUCAGUUCUCACGUUCAAAAACUUUCCAAGUUCACCAUGUCUAACAAGUGAGGCAACUGUGACUGCACUAACAAGAGCCAAUGCAUGUAAGUAAUCGAUAAUCUAUCCAUGAUAAACUUCCUUCGAUGUGUGGUUUGAGAUUAUGUUAUUGUUUUAAGUUAUGUUCAUUUUUGCCUUGUUGCCAUCAGGCUGAACAAAAACUUUUCAAUAGCAGUCAUUUUAUCUUUUCCUACCAUGUUUCCUCAGGGACAACGUGUGGAAACUUGAACUAAUUGUUAUCUUUAAUCUCUUUGUAAGUUUGAAAUCAAGUAUCAUUGAAACUAAAGGCUUUUUUUUUUUUUGCUUUUCUACGCUUACAGGAAGAAGGGAAACACCUUGGUCACUGAGACUGAGAAGAGGUAUAUGCUCUGCACUUCACUCUGAUAUCUGCAAAGAAAUAAAUCAAUAAUAAACAUAAAAUUUCGUAUGCUACAAAGAUCUGAAACAUUUCUUAGAUUUCAAAUAAGCAAUCAAAAACUUUCAUAUGCAUUUAGUUUUUAGAUAUAGCUUUUAUAAUAUUUCGAUUAAAAUUUUGGUUAAUUCGAUUUUUGAGCUAAAUUAAUUAAAAGUUAAAAUUUUUAUAAAACUAUUUUUAAAAACCAACUGAAAUUAAUUCAAUUAUUGACCAAUUAACCAAAUUAAAUUAGUGCAAUAAAUUAAAAUCAAAUUAUGAACACCCCUAAUUUUGAGAUGCUGUUAGAAAAGAAAAUUAGUUUUAUUUGAAUGGGUAUAGAAAAGAAAGAAAAAGAAAAGACUUUAAGCAAUGACAGGUCUAUGGAUAUGGCAGACUUUGGACCUGUGAAAUGGAUAGUAAACUUAAACUGGCUAUCUUUUGGGCUGAACUCCCAAAAAAUAAAAAUGUCGAGACUAGAUUUUGGCUCAACAAAUGACAAACAAUUAAAGGUUUAAUGCAUCUGAAUUUUAUUCUAUGUAAAAAGAGUACACAACCCAUAAUUUUUAAUUUCUACUUCAUAUAUAGUUUAAAUUAAAUUUCACUUCAUUCGCAUAAUUGAUUUUAUGCAUACUAAUUUCAAUCUUUUAUUUUAUUCCCCAACAUAAUAUCAUGAUUUGAUUAGAUAAUUGAAUUUUUAUUUUUCAAAAGUAUUCAUUUAUGCGUGUAUAUAUAAAUAAAUUUUUAUUUUUUACCAAAAAAACAUAAACCAAUGCUUCAUUCAUCAAAUUGUCAAAAUGGGUUUGAUUUUUUAUGUAAUAAUCCAAAAAAACUUGACAUGGACAUGUAAGGGAGAAAAAAAAAAAAAAGAAAGGUGGUAGUGAAGAGGACAACCAUGAUUUUUCCUUGCUAUACAUGAGGAUAAAAAGAUUGAAAACGUAUAUAUAAGGCUAUACUUUGUUUUCAUAAAAUCUUCCAAGGUUGAGAUCAAACUCUCCAAUUAGAACAUCCCUUGACACAAAGCCUCAAACCAUAUAGCGAAUUCGGGAGCCCAAAUUUCUUUUCGGCAUGGAAGGUGAAACUUCUUAAUAUUUCAUUUGUCAUGGCCCGAUAAAACAGAACUUGAUCAAGUAGUCCAAUUGUAUGAUCAUUAAUUGACUCUUUAUUGUCAAACGAUACAUAAGCUCGUGCUGUGAAAUCCAUAAACGCAACAGUACCCUCUCCCUUCUUGCCUCCUCCAUCUAUAAAUACAUGAUCUUGCAAAGCUUUGGAGAUGUAGCAAUCCAUUGCGAGCAAUAACAUGUUUAGAAACUCAAAAAAACCUUCAGCUCUCAGUUCUCACGUUCAAAAACUUUCCAAGUUCACCAUCUCUGACAAGUGCGGCAAUUGUGACUGCGCUGACAAGAGCCAGUGGGUGUAAGUAAUCGAUAAUCCAUCCAUGAGAAACUUCAUUCUAGGGUUGUGAGUGGUUUGAGAUUAUGUUAUUGUUUUAAGUUGUUAUGUUCAUUUCUGCCAUGUUACCGUCAGGCUGAACAAAAACUUUUCAAUAGCAGCCAUUUUAUCUUUUCCUACCAUGUUUCCUCGGGGACAACCUGUGGAAACUCAAACUAAUUGUUAUCUUUAAGCUCUUUGGGAGUUUGCAAUCAAGUAUCGUUGAAACUAAAAGCUUUUCUAUGCUUACAGGAAGAAGGGAAACACCUUGGUCAAUGAGACUGAGAAGAGGUAUACUUUCUGCAAUUCACUUGAUAUCUGCAAAGAAACAAACCAAUAAUAAACAUAAAAUUUCAUAUAUGCUACUAAGACCUGAGCCAUUCCUUAGAUUUUCAAACAAGCAAUCAAAAACUUCUUGAUCUGAUGCAUGAUUUUCUACAGUCAUAUUCUCCGAAGUACUUAUCCAGAGAGGCAAAAAGAACUAUGUUUUUCACAGUCGAUGAAUCGAGAAUUAAGAAACUUAAUUUAAAGUAUACAUAUGCUAAUUGUAAUCUGCAUUGUGUUCUUUCUGUGCAGCCACAUCAGCACUGUUGUCGUUGAGACUCCAGCUGAAAAUGAUGGCAAGUGCAAGUGCGGAGGCUGCAGCCGCACAAACUGCACAUGUGGUGCUCAUUAAGCAAACAUAAAAUAAUAAUGUUGCAGUUCAUGGCGAUAUAAUGGCCUAAAAAACAAUGAAACUUGGGUUGAAUGGUUUGUCUUUUGUUGUCUGUCAAUAAUGGUUUGUCUUUUGUUGUCUGUCAAUCGUAUGUUUGUCUUUUCAAAAUUUCAAAUUAAAUUAUUCAAAAUCGAAUUAAUCGAAUUUUGUUAUUUUAUUUUUAUUAAUUAUAUCAAUUUUUUAAUUUUAAAAAUUAAUCGACUGAAAUUAAUUUGAUUGAUUCAAUUAAUUUUUUUGAUUAAUCAAAUAAUAAAAUUUAUUGAGUUAAAUUUUAUUUUAAAAUUUUUUGUUUCAUAUGUGAAACAAAUUAAAUAACAUCAUCUAACAAAAAUAUUCAAACAUCAAAGUAUUAAAUUAAAAACUCUUGAAAUAAAUUUGAUAAUUUCAUAUAUUUUUAGUUUUAUAUAUAGAUUUUAUAGUAUUUCGAUUAAACUUUCGGUUAAUUUAAUUUUUGAAUCAAAUUAAUUGAAAACUAAAAUUUUUUAAAAUUAUUUUUAAUAACUAAUCAAAAUUAAUUCAAUGACUAACCGACUAACCAAAUUAAAUCAAUUCGGUUGAUUAAUUUGGUUUUGAACACCCCUACUUUGAGAUGCUAUUGGAAAGAAAAUUUCUUUUAUUUGAAUGGGUAUCAAUAAGAAUGAAAAGAAAAGACUUUAAACAAUGACAGACUUGUGGAUAUAUAUAGCAGAAAUAUUUUUUAGGCUGAAUUCGCGAAUAAAGAAAAAGGCCAAGACUAGAUUUUGGCUCAACAUAUGGACUAAUAAUUAAAGGCCCAAUUUAUCUGAAUUUUAUUUUAUGUUAAAAAAAAGACAACUCAUAAUUUUUAAUUUCUACUUCAUAUAUUGUUUAAAUUAAAUUUCACUUCAUUCACAUAAUUGAUUUUAUGUAUGCUAAUCUAAAUAUUUUUUCCCAAAUAAUAUCAUUAUUUGGUUUGAUAAGUGUUUUAUUACUUUUUUUAAAAGCAUUCAUGUAUGCUUGUGUAUAUAAAUAUUUUUUUUUUUUUUUUGAAAAAAACAUACACCAAUACUUCACUUAUAAAAUUGUCAAAAUGGGUUUAUUUUUUAUAUAAUAAUCCUAAAAAACUUGAUACGGACAUGUAAAGGAGAGAAAAAAAAAUAAGUGGUAGUAAAGAGGACAACCAUGAUUUUUCUUUGCUAUACAAGGAUUAAGAGAUUGAAAACUUAUAUGUAAGGCUAUACUUUGUUCUCAUAAAAUCUUCAAAGGUUGAGAUCGAACUCUUCAAUCAAACUAUCCCUCAACACACUGCCCAAAAUGAUAUAGCAAAUUCUGAAGCCCCAAUUUCUUCCCGGCAUGGAAGUUUAAGCUUAUUAAUAUUUGGUUUGUCAUGGCCCGAUGAGGCAGAACAUGAUCAAGUACUCCAGUUUUAUGAUCAUCCAUUGACUCAUUGUCAUCAAAGAAUACGUAUGCUCAUCCUGUGAAAGCCAUAAAUCUUUCCACUUCCUUGACGAAACAAGGGUUCGUACUGCAAAUUUUGUAGGGGGGAAGGUUGAGAAUCUUUUCACGAAGUGGAUCAUGCAAAUCGCUUAUUCAACAACUUUCCCUUCAUCUGAUAUGAAAUAAGCAAAUUUACUGUAAGUUAUUAUAGUAAAAAAAAAAAAACAAAGGAUAAAAAUUUGAAAUGAACUAAAACAUUAAGAGAAAAUGUUGGAUAGCUACAACAAAAUGAAAGAGAAAAUAUUUACCUUCUAAGAGAAGUAGGUGCAUAUAUUUCCUAUCUUCUUGAAUUGCCACGAACAACAAUCAAAUGCAACAAUGAACAGACAAGAAUUCUUGUAAUCCACAAACAUUUUAAGAUCGCUAAGAGAAAAACUUUGAACUCUAGCAUCUUCUCAUCCUACAAAUUUUAUCUAUGUUUAUACUAAUGGCCGAAAACUGUGUUUAUAUAGACAGUGAAAAAUAAAUGCACAUAGAUUUUUAGGACUAAAAAUAUAACUAUUCUAAAGAUUUUCUUUAAAUAACUUACGAUGUUUGGAGAUUUUUACAAGAUUACUUACGAAAUAUAACAAUUAUCUUGAAGAUUUUUACACUAAUCAUAAUUUUAAAUGAUUUUAUAUUUUUUAAAUAUAUAUUAUCAAAAUUUUUAAAUUAAAAAAUUCUAUAAUUAAUGUGCCAUUUUAUAUUUUGUUAUACCUAAUUAGAGGUGUUUUUGAGUCAGAUCGUGUUGGGUUCGGCUUGAGCUCAUACAUGAUUUUAAUAGCUUAUAUGUUUGUUUAAGCCCAACACAAAAUUUCAUGCUUUAAAAUUUUUUCAAGUUCAACCUAAAUUUUAAAAAAUAAAUCCCAAACUCACCCAUUAAACCUAAUGUAUAUAAUAAAAUUAAAAAAAAUGUAAUUAAAUUAAGUUUAAUAGAAUUAUAUUUAAUUCACAUAUAUAUAUAAAUUAAAAAUAAAAUUAUAUAUGUAAAAUUUAAAAAUUAAGAUUAAUAAAAUAUAUAAUUUUGUUUUUAUUUUUAUAUAAAUGUGAAUUAAUUUAUUUAUAAUUCAUAUAUACAUAUAUAUAAAUAAAAAAUUUAUAUAUAUGUGAAUUCAGUCCAGGCCAAAUUUGAGUUUUAAUCCAAGAUUCAAUUCGAAUUUAAACGGAUUUAAAAAUUGUGAUCAAACCCGUUUAAUAAGUUUUAAUUUUUUAUCAAUACCCUCUCAAAAUUUAAAUGAACUUUCGAGCUUGGAUGAAUAGUCCAACUCUUGAAUAAAUCAAAUCAUAUUGUGACCGAUCAACUGACUUUCUCUUGAAGUUUUUUUGGUUAUAUGAAAAUUUAUAGUGCUUUUUUUUAAAGGUUAAAAACCCAAGCUUCUAAAGUUCUAUUUACCAUUAUUUCAUGGAGAACAUUUGCUUCCCUUAACGUAUAAUUAUUAGAUAAAGAUAAUAGAGCAUUACAGCAAAAAAUUAAUACCACACCAAACAAUGAUUGACAAUAUGUCACCUUUCAUAAUAUAGAAAUGCACAAAUAUAUGGGCUUACUCUUACAUAAGAAGAUGCCUUUGGAUAACAAUUUUCAAAAAAAUUUUGAUAUAAAAACAUUUUAAAAUACAUCAAUUCACAAUAUUAAUUGAGACUAGUGAUCUUGAUGUAUGUUUGUAUUAAUCUAUUUUUUAAAUAAAGCUUUUUAUCUUUUUUUUUUCCUAUCCAACUUUCUUUGCACUUUUUUAGAUUGAUUUCACCUAACUUUUCAAGAAUAAAGAACUUAUAUAUAAUUUUUUUUUAGUAAUGAGUCAAAGAGAAAUUCUCCUUCGGUCUUUUCCAAAGGAAAUGCCUAACAUUUGGAUGGUCAAUAUAUAAGGGUAUUUGUGCCUAAUAUACACAUGUUGGAAUACUAGUGAGCCACAUUUUAAAAGCAAAUAGAAAACUGAAAAAAAAAAAUGCAUGACCUCAAUGAGGGUUUUGAGAUAAUAUCAUAAUUAAUCCUAUAAGCUUAAAGCUCCAUUUAUUUAUAUAUUUAUUAUCUAAAAAAUAAAGUUGAUGUGACGAGAGAAUACAUAUAUAUAUAUAUAUAUAUAUAUAAAUGAGGAUGAAUCAAUUUUUAUAAUGUAAUUCAUUUUUAGUUUUACAUAUUUUUUUAAUUAUUGAUUUUAAUAAAUUUAAGAGAUGAGAUUAAAUCAUUAUUUUUUAUUGUUACUUGUCUUUCUUUUUUUUUUAAAUCUUUUAAAAUUAAUGAUUACAAAAUAUAUAAAACUAAAAAAAAAUUAUUGUGUAAUUAAAUCAAUCCCUCUCAUAUAUAUAUAUAUAUAUAUAUAUAUAUUAAGACUGUAAUCAUGUGAAGAUGUAACUUUUUGUCUACAAGAUUGAUAUUUGUUAUGAUCCUAAUAUCAUAUUUGUAAUUAAGACCAAGAUAAGUGCUAGGAAUGUCAAUGUUCAAAAUCAAUUACAUUUAAUUUUACAAAGUAAAACGCCUUUUUACCAUCUUUUUCGCUAGUUUUGGUUUAUCAAGUGUUUCAAAGCAUCAAGAAAUUUCCUAACAACUAUCUUGAAACGAAAUUCUCCUUGGAGAAUCUGAAAUAGAUCUCUCCAUGUUCUCUUGUCAAAUUUUGUUUUAGAGCUACUAUCUUUUUUCGACUUGUUGAUUGAGAAAAAUAUUAAACUUGAUAAUUUUAGACAUGAUAUAAUAAUAUAAUAUAAAAUUAAUUUACAAAAAAUAUGAAAGCAAUAUAGUUUAAAAUUAACAAAAAUCAUAUAUAAAUUUAUUAAAAAUAAAAAAAAAUAUAUUUUAUAUUUAAUGUAUCAACACAAAUUACAAUAUAAUAAUUUUUAUAUUUUACAUAUAUUUAAUAAGAUAUAAUACGAACAUAUAAGUUAAUAAAUUUUAUAAAGAUAGAUAUCUAUACUUGUAUAUAUGCCAUCUCUUUUUCAAAAACGAGAAAUGAUAUUGACACCAGAGGAGGAUAGCAAGCCAAGGCCCUCCAUUAUCAAGAUUCCUUCUGACUCUUCCUCGAGAGGCGUGCUUUUCUCUCAUGCCUAAGCCCCCCAUGCACGAAACGGUACCCUCUCCCUUCCUACCUCCUCCAUCUAUAAAUACAUGAUCAUGCAAAGCUUUGAAGAUAUAGCAAUCCAUUGCAAGUUGUAACAACUUUAGAAACUCAAAAAACCUUCAGCUCUCAGUUCUCACGUUCAAAAACUUUCCAAGUUCACCAUGUCUGACAAGUGCGGCAACUGUGACUGCGCUGACAAGAGCCAGUGCGUGUAAGUAAUCGAUAAUCCAUCCAUGAUAAACUUCCU